GGAAGGUCCCGCCCCCCUGCCCCGCCCACACGGAGCAUACAAAGGGUGGCUGUGAACCCUGGUGACAGGCCCGAGGGGAGUGAUGGUGUCCCUCUGGUGAGAGUCUGUUGUGCACCUGCAGGAGACCCCAUUACAGAGCGCCCUACAACUGGCCUGUGGGAUUUGCAGCCAGCUCAAGGGCCAGCUGGUGAGAUGGGAAGGAUUCAGGGCCAGCUCGACAGGGAUGCCCUGCAGUGACAGCCCCCAAAGACCCCACAUCAGAGGCUGUGAGGCCUCUGACACAGAGGAAGCCAGAGAAAGUGUCCACUGGGGACAAACCUGGGUGGGGCUCCCACGGGGGAAGAGUGCUUUCAUUUAACCAAGGGAGGCUGCAUUCAUGGGACAGCUGCUGAGCUCAACUGGAAAUGAGUGAGUGACAUUGCCCCUCCUGCCCCAGCCAGCCAGGCCAGGUGUGUCCCACAUCCCAGCAGUCCCAACAUCCUGACAGUCCCACAUCCCAGCAAUCCCGACAUCCUGACAGUCCCACAUACCAGCAGUCCCUACAUCCUGACAGUCCCACAUACCAGCAGCCCCGACAUCCUGACAGUCCCACACACCAGCAAUCCUGACAUCCUGACAGUCCCAACAUCCCAACAGUCCCAACAUCGCAACACUCCCAACAUCCCAACAGUCCCAACAUUCUCACAGUCCCAACAUCCCAACAGUCCUGACAUCCUGACAGUCCCAACAUCCCAACAGUCCUGAUAUUCCAACAGUCCCCGACAUCCUGACUGUUCUGACAUUCCAACAGUCCCGACGUGCUGACAGUCACAACAUCCCAACAGUCCUGACAUUCCAACAGUCCUGACAUCCCAAGAGUCCCGACGUCCUGAUAGUCCCAACAUCCCAACAGUCCCAACAUUCCGACAGUCCCAACAUCCUGACAGUCCCGACAUUCUGACAGUCCCGAUAUUCCAACAGUCCCGACAUUCCGACAGUCCCGACAUUCUGAUAGUACUGACAUCCCAACAGUCCUGACAUUCCAACAGUCCCGACAACCCAACAGUCCCAACAUCCCUACAGUCCUGACAUCCCAACAGUCCCAACAUCCCUACAGUCCCGAUAUCUGACAGUCCCAACAUCCCGAUAGUACUGACAUUCCAACAAUCCUGACAUCCCAACAGUCCCAACAUCCCAACAGUCCCAACAUCCCGACAGUCUCAACAUCCCAGCAGUCCCGACAUCCCGACAGUCUCAACAUCCCAGCAGUCCCGACAUCCAAAGAGUCCCAACAUUCCAACAGCUCCAACAUCCCAACAGUCCCGACAUCCAAACAAUCCCGACAUUCCAACAGUCCCAACAUUCCAACAGUCCCGACAUCCCAACAGUCCCAAUAUUCCAACAGCCCCAACAUUCCAACAGUCCCGACAUCCUGACAGUCCUGACAUCUCAGCAGUCCCCAAAUCCUGGCAGUCCUAACAUUCUGACAGUCCCAAUGUCCUGACAGUCCCAACAUCCCAACAGUCCUAAUGUCCUGACUGUCCACACCUUGUGUCCCUAUGACAUCUACUCUCUGCACAGGAGCCUGAGCAGUUCUCCAGAGCCUACUUGGACAAUGUCUCUCCUCUGCUGAACCCUGCCGGGGGUUUCCAGCCCCUCUUGGAAUGGAUGUCCUUCUGCGGCAUCUCUGACCUUGCUUUCCUGUUGCCUUUGCUCACUCGGCCCCAGCCAACCCCUCCUUGCCCUUCCUCCAGGAAGCAAGCCUCUGAGCCACUGCAUGGGCUGUUCCCCCCAUGGCUGAAUGUUCUUCCCUAGAUAUCCACAUGGCUCACCCUUACCUCAAGUGCUUACCCAAUGUCCUCUUCUUGAGGAGGCCCACUCUGGCCCACCUUGUAUUCAGCACCCCCGGCCCUGCCCACACUCCCUCCCACCCCGUCCUUUGCUGCACUUUCCCCAUGGAUCACAGCCCUCCUGAC
rnacentral:lncRNA from 1 species